rnacentral:rRNA from 1 species
CCUACGGGAGGCAGCAGUGAGGAAUAUUGGUCAAUGGACGAGAGUCUGAACCAGCCAAGUAGCGUGAAGGAAGACUGCCCUAUGGGUUGUAAACUUCUUUUAUAUGGGAAUAAAAUGUUCCACGUGUGGGAUUUUGUAUGUACCAUAUGAAUAAGGAUCGGCUAACUCCGUGCCAGCAGCCGCGGUAAUACGGAGGGUCCGAGCGUUAUCCGGAUUUAUUGGGUUUAAAGGGAGCGUAGGUGGGUUGUUAAGUCAGUUGUGAAAGUUUGCGGCUCAACCGUAAAAUUGCAGUUGAAACUGGCAGGCUUGAGUACUGUAGAGGGGGGCGGAAUUCGUGGUGUAGCGGUGAAAUGCUUAGAUAUCACGAAGAACUCCGAUUGCGAAGGCAGCUCACUGGACUGCGACUGACGCUGAGGCUCGAAAGUGUGGGUAUCAAACAGGAUUAGAUACCCUAGUAGUC